rnacentral:rRNA from 1 species
UGGGUAACCUGCCUCAAAGAGGGGAAUAGCCUCCCGAAAGGGAGAUUAAUACCGCAUAAUAUGUUUAGGUCGCAUGACUUUAACAUCAAAGGAUUUUCUUUUAGAAAUUCCACUUUGAGAUGGACCCGCGGCGCAUUAGCUAGUUGGUGAGGUAAUGGCUCACCAAGGCAACGAUGCGUAGCCGACCUGAGAGGGUGAUCGGCCACAUUGGAACUGAGACACGGUCCAGACCUCUACGGGAG